GUAACAAGGUUUCCGUAGGUGAACCUGCGGAAGGAUCAUUACUGUGAUUUACUACUACACUGCGUGAGCGGAACGAAAACAACAACACCUAAAAUGUGGAAUAUAGCAUAUAGUCGACAAGAGAAAUCUACGAAAAAACAAACAAAACUUUCAACAACGGAUCUCUUGGUUCUCGCAUCGAUGAAGAGCGCAGCGAAAUGCGAUACCUAGUGUGAAUUGCAGCCAUCGUGAAUCAUCGAGUUCUUGAACGCACAUUGCGCCCCUCGGCAUUCCGGGGGGCAUGCCUGUUUGAGCGUCGUUUCCAUCUUGCGCGUGCGCAGAGUUGGGGGAGCGGAGCGGACGACGUGUAAAGAGCGUCGGAGCUGCGACUCGCCUGAAAGGGAGCGAAGCUGGCCGAGCGAACUAGACUUUUUUUCAGGGACGCUUGGCGGCCGAGAGCGAGUGUUGCGAGACAACAAAAAGCUCGACCUCAAAUCAGGUAGGAAUACCCGCUGAACUUAAGCAUAUCAAU
rnacentral:rRNA from 1 species